rnacentral:rRNA from 1 species
UGGGGAAUAUUGCACAAUGGGGGAAACCCUGAUGCAGCAACGCCGCGUGAGUGAUGACGGUCUUCGGAUUGUAAAGCUCUGUCUUUGGGGACGAUAAUGACGGUACCCAAGGAGGAAGCCACGGCUAACUACGUGCCAGCAGCCGCGGUAAUACGUAGGUGGCGAGCGUUGUCCGGAUUUACUGGGCGUAAAGGGAGCGUAGGCGGAUUUUUAAGUGGGAUGUGAAAUACCCGGGCUCAACCUGGGUGCUGCAUUCCAAACUGGGAAUCUAGAGUGCAGGAGGGGAGAGUGGAAUUCCUAGUGUAGCGGUGAAAUGCGUAGAGAUURGGAAGAACACCAGUGGCGAAGGCGACUCUCUGGACUGUAACUGACGCUGAGGCUCGAAAGCGUGGGGAGCGAACAGGAUUAGAUMCCCUGGUAGUCCACCCCGUAAACGAUGAAUACUAGGUGUAGGGGUUUCAACACCUCUGUGCCGCCGCUAACGCAUUAAGUAUUCCGCCUGGGGAGUACGGUCGCAAGAUUA